GGUCCUCUGGUAAAGCACAUCAUCUCUUAGGGCUUCAGAACUUUGGCCUCUGACUCCUGAGUCUUCUCUCUGCUAACAGGAAUCAGCCAAAUAUGAAGAUCUUUGUCUUUGCCUUUGUCAUGGCCCUCAUGAUUGCCAUGAUUGGAGCUGAUUCAUCUGAAGAGAAUCUUCUUUACCGUCCAUAUCCACCAGUUUAUCCUUACCCUCUAUAUCCACCAGUUUAUCCUUACCCUCAGCCAUAUCAACCAGUUUAUCCUUACAAUGCCCCAGAACAAUACCCUCCUUCUUCUUAGCCAUCAUUUUGAAUAUUAGUAACCCUAGGACAUGAUUAUGGCGGCUUGGUGGAAAGUCCUAUUUGCUUUCUUACUCAAAAUGAUUCUUCCUAAAGAAAAAUCCUUUAAUCAUCUAGUAACACUUAUUAGCCCCAAUACACCACAUACACCCAAAGUAUUUGUAAAAUUAUGUUUUGGAAUUUAAUUUUUUAAAUUGCAUUAUAUUAUGCGUUAUAUCACAAUUUAAAAAUAAUUGGAUCCAUCAUAAUUUCUAGAUUUUCCGUAAGAAAAAAGAAAUCUAAUCAAAUAAUGUUACAUGGACAACACACACCAGAGAUUAAUGAUCAAUAUUUUGAAAAUAGUAAUAGUAGUCUCUGAACUAUUGGAAAAUCUCCUUUUCUCCUCUGUGUUAAUAACAUCAUAAAAAUGUUUAAAAACCUUAUGCAUAAUAAACUGAUUAUCAAGCAUA